rnacentral:rRNA from 1 species
GACGAACGCUGGCGGCGUGCUUAACACAUGCAAGUCGAACGGAAAGGCCCUGCUUUUGUGGGGUGCUCGAGUGGCGAGCGGGUGAUUAACACGUGAGUAACCUGCCCUUGACUAUAGGAUAACUUCAGGAAAGUGGGGCUAAUACCGGAUAGGAGCUCCUGAUGCAUGGUGGUGGGUGGAAAGUUUAGGCGGGGGGGGUUGGAGGCGGGGCUUAUCACCUUGGUGGUGGGGUAGUGGCUUACCAAGGCUUUGACGGGUAGCCGGCCUGAGAGGGUGAACAGGGACCAGGGUACUGCGAGACGCCGCAGACGGCAACGGGAGGCAGUGGGGGGGAAUAUUGCACAGUGGGGCGAAGCGCGAGAUAGAAACGCCGCGGGCGGGAUGAGGGUUUGUGGGUUGUAAAACGCUUUCGCCUGUGACGAAGCGGGAGUGACGGUAAUGUAUAAAGAAGCACCGGCUAACUACGUG